rnacentral:rRNA from 1 species
CUUAACUUAAGAGUGACGGGCAAUUUGUGCACAAAAUAAUUGCUUUUCAUAGAGAAAUUUUUUUUCUAUAAUUAUAAUUAAGUCCUUUUUAGAAUCUUUUUCCUUUUUUCACUAGUUUUUUUUUCUAUGUAUCCCACUUCAACUUUUUUAUUUCCUUUGCCUUGAUCUGUCUUUUUUACAUUUUUAUUAUAGAACUUUAAGAUUAGUCUUUGUUCUUUACGAUGGUAUAAAUAGUUAAAAAAAAAGUUUUUAAUCGUGGGGUAUCUAUUAUUGAGCAGGAUCCCCUAAAUGAGUAUUUUGCCGCCAUUUCAUUUGGCUUUCUUUUAUAUAAAUAAUCUCCUUUUUUCUUUUAAAA